rnacentral:lncRNA from 1 species
UUUUCUCCUAUCAUCACCUGCAUUAGCCACCGCCACCCAAACUACCUCAGCAGUGGGAAAAGACCAAGUUCCACGAUUAAUGUGCAAUGAGUGCGAGCUUCCACCUCCACCCCCACCUCCAGAAAUAAAUUGUCCACUGCCACCCUCACCUCCGCCGCCGAUACCGUCAUCACCUCCACCACCCUCACCUCCGCCGCCGAUACCACCAUCACCUCCACCACCACCAGCUGUUGUUGAAUGUCCACCGCCGCCAAGACCACCGUGUGGAGGUGGAGGUAUUGACUGCUUGCUACCCCCUAUACCGGGGACACCAGAGGAACCGAAAUAUUUAUCGCCAC